GAUCGUAUCUCUGGAGACAUCCGUAAAAUCGGAGGCCGAAGGUGCAAUUGUGCGUCAGCGCAGGAAUCUCUCAGGCAAAAGGACAGAGAAAAAGAG
rfam:Clostridiales bacterium KLE1615 genomic scaffold Scaffold284, whole genome shotgun sequence.